CAAGACCUAAAUCCAUACAAGAAGGAGAUUUAUCACCGAUUACUCGAGCACUCUAGUGGUGGCAUUGGAUACUAUAAUACGACAGUGCUACGUGAGAAAUCGUGAUGGUGUAGUUUAUACCCUCUUUGGUCGUCGUUCCUCAUUUCGUUCAAGUAAAAGACGUAUCGAAGGACCAGGUUAUCUUCUUUGUUCGAGAAAAGCUUCAUCAGUGAGCAAUGGCGCGGGAACUUCACGUUCCAGAAUCGAUGUAUGCAUGGCGUAGGUGAUGAUCGGUGUUUGUACAUGUGGCAUGGUGUUUAUAGCGAACAGGAAGAUUUACAUAUCUUACUGAAUUGACCAGCUCGUCGGUUUUUGGAUACGAGCCGUGUCGUGAGCCGCCAUGAGGCGUAUUAGCGGAUAAUAAGCAGUCACCUGAUCUGAUCUGUUCAUCCCUACUUUGUGAAUGUUGUAAUCAAGAACGACGUCCGGUUUUGCUUUGUAACUGGCUCUUCUUGUGACCACAUAACAACGUAAGUUGUAGAAGCUGUGUGGCAUGCUAACAGCAUCAACACAUCUUUUGCGUCUCUCCAUUUUAGGCAGUGUAGGUACUUUCUUCUUACCGAUAUUUUUUUAUCUUUUUUAUAA